rnacentral:lncRNA from 1 species
AAAGGCUGUAUGUAAUCCCUGAUGGCUAUCAGCUUAUCACUGUAAAGCCAGAGAGGACUGAAGAUAGUGAAUGAGAGGGGAGGGCUGGACAGAAACCUGCAGGAGCGAGGCGUCCUUCUCCAGGGGGGCUCCGUGGAAAGCAGAGCCCUGGGCGGCCGCAGCACGGGCCCAUCACCGCGAUCUGGAGCAGGUAUCUUUCCACGCUGCCUCAUGGUCUUCCUCAGUGACAGCUUUAGUGGCUAAGGAGACUCCAUCACGAGGAGUGCCUGCUGUGGGGGCCGCGUCCAUCCCUGCGGAAGGCAGAGCUGUGGAUGGCUCCUGCUGCGCUGUUGAGUCGGCCUGCUCAGGCCACACUGCUGCUGUGCUCCUGGGCCCCAGACAAGCAGUUUCCGAUUGGACCAGCUUCCCUAGGGCUUUCUGUU